rnacentral:lncRNA from 1 species
UAAAUAUUUUAUAUAUUGUAUAAAUAAACAAAAAUAAAUUACGUGUAUAUAUAUAUAAUUUAUUCGGGUUUGGAUUCAGAUAAUAUUUCGGAUAUCCAUACCUAUUGACAUCCCUAUUUCUUAUUCCACUUUUCAAUAUAUAAAAAAUACAUACUAAACACGGUGAACCAUUCACCGUGUUUAAACACGGUGAAUGGUUCACACGGUGAAUGGCUCACCGUGUUCAACUUAAUAUACAAACUCGGUCUUGCCCGUGUGACGCUGACGUAGCGCCUGUGUGGCAGGCCCAGGGCCAUUUUUGUAAAUUAAAUUUUGACAGGGCUAUUUUUAAAAUAAAAAUUUACCAGGGGUCUAAAUGCAAACGGUGUAACAAAUCAAUCAAAUAUUUUUUUUUAAAGAUAUAUGUCCUAUCAUGAUUAUAAAAAUAUAUUUUUAUUAUACUUUUGUUUGAAAAAAGAAAUGUGAUUGGUUUGUUAUUGAUGACGUGGUGUACGUGUGUCAGUGUAGAAUUCUUUCCUUGCCACCCCCAUCUUGAAAAAUUCUAGAAUGCACCGGGUGCAUUGGUGACGUGGCGUUACAAACAAAUCAAAAUUUUCCUUUUAAAGAUAUAUAUAUGUCUCAUCACGAUUGUAAAAAUAUAUUUUUAUGAUAUUUUUGUUUGAAAAAAGAAAUAUAAUUAGCUUGUUAUUAAUGACGUGGUGCAAGUGUGACAGUGUAGAAUUCCUCCCCCAUCUUCUAUCUCUCUCUCUCUCUCUCUCUUUCUCUCUCUCUCAUAACUGCCUCUGCGCGUACGCCUCUCAGCCACCCGCGGUGACCUCUCUCUCAUAACUGCCCCCCCCCUGCGCGUCCACCCCGCUCCACCCCAACCCCCCAAACCCGCGGCGAUCAAAGAUGGUGCGCUUCGUUUUAGGUUUUCAUAGAAGAAGGCGAGGAAUGCGGCAGCGGAUCAAUGGGCAGCGGCGGAGGUGAUCACCACGGUGGCGAAGGUCACGACCAUGGCGAUGAAAGGGAAGCAGGGGCCUUCAGGAAGAAGGUCUGGAGCAUGACGUAGAGCCCUACUACCGUCCUCCGAACGGAAACUAGAAUAAAAAACCUUCCCUAAUUCUCCUCCUCACCCCAGCAAUUCCACAAAACGAGCGGAAGGGUACCGUUUCCUCACCUUUGAUCCAAUCUUACAUUCCUAAUUUUAUUGCUGCGAUGUAGACAAGUAGAUUGUCGUUUGUUGCCAUCCAGCUUGGAAGAAGCUAAGUAGGAAUAUGCAGGAAAAGCACAAGUUCAACAUCCUAAGGUUACUGUUGAUGAAAAAGUCUAUCUACCACCACCUCCAACCAAUCGUGAUGCUCAUGGACCAUUUUGAUACUUCCGUUUUCAAUAAAUUAUGCCAGAUUAAUCAUGUUCCGUGCUCUUUCAGAAUUUUUUAUACCUUGAACAUCUUAAUUUGAUUGUAUUUGGUAUAUCAUGUUAUUUCUUAUUGCAUAUCUUUAAGAGUUUGCUGGAGAAGUUUGGUUUUGACAGAGCGCAUUAAACUCCUGUCACGUAGGUUGUAUUCUUUAUGCUUUAUUCAUCUAAUCAUCUAAUCAGUAUAGUGUUAUUCUCUUUUAUAUAUAUAUAUAUAUAUAUAUAUAUAUAUAUAUAUAUAUAUAUAUAUUAAGAUCCCGCUACUAAUCUCUUUAUGAGUAACGAUCGCCUUUGUAAUAUAUAAAAAGUUAAGGUCCGCAUAUACUCUUAUAGAUAAUACUGAUCUGCUCCUCGUACUCAUAAGUUGUUUUCGAUGGUAGAGCUUCGGAAUCGACGAUCCAUAUCGUUAAAUAUUAUUUAGAGCAUUUAAAACUUCUAGAAAUUAAAUUUCAUAAUUUUUCAACAUCAUUUACCUUACGAUCAAACGCUCACAAAAUUGAUAAUUUUUAACGGCCGGUAUGGAAUACUUGAUAGUUUAACAGUGUAAAAGAAUUAGAAUAGAUUAAAUUUUUGAUAUAAAAUUCUAUUCACUACCUAGAUAAAGUUCAAUAACUCCGAUCUUAAAUUGAAGGAUCUGAUCAUCCAUUUUUAGGACAUCGUUCGAUUUUGACCGUUCAUUUUAUACCCGUUUGAUGGACUUUAUUAUGAUUUCGAAAAAUUAUGAAAUUUAUUUUUUAGAAGCUUCAAAUACUCUAGAUCAUAUUUAACGGAGUGGAUCGUCGAUUCGGAAGCUCCGUCAUCGAAAACAACUUAUCAGUACGAAGGGCCCAAUACUCAUAAGAGUAUAGUAGCCAUACUCUCUCUCUCUCUCUCUCUCUCUCUCUCUCUCUCUCUCUCUCUAUAUAUAUAUAUAUAUAUAUAAACUCUGUUGGUUUUUGAACAAUUCUAACUAACGACUUUCUUUCUCUUAAUGAACUAUUGUUUCUCUUAAAUGUUUAUUCCGGCUUACCUUCUAAGCUCUUUCUCAAACAAUUUUAACCAGUUAAUUUCUUCACCUUUCUCUCUUAGGAUUCCUUCCUUAAGACUAAUUUCUUAUAUUUCUCUUUUGCCUUUGUUCUUUCAUGUUGUCUUUACCAGAAUUGGUGUUGGUGCAAUGUAUCAUGGCCUUCGACCUAUUGUGGAAUUCAUGACAUCCAACGUCUUCACGCAGGUACAUAGCUUUGUUUUGUAUAUGUAGUUUAAAAUGUGUAGUGCUAAAUUUAUUCAACUUAUUAAACUCAAUGGGUCACUAUAUAGGAGAUAGAGCUUAGUAUUUGAUUGGUUGUAAAUCAGUUGAUUAAACAUUGGCUCUUAGUCCUUUGAAAACUAAAUAUAUGAUGUAGCUAUGUACAUUAGUAUUAUUAGUUCUCCAUUUAUGAAUAAAUUAUGUGAAAAAGAUUUAUACAUCCUCCACUUAUAAUUAACAUAUAUCUUACUUUUCUAUCAAGAGGACUUAUUAUUGAGGAUUAGACAUCAUAUAUCGGAAAAAAGUAGAUAAUUAUAGUGGAGGAUGUAUAAAUCUUUUUCACAUAAUUUAUUCAUAAAUGGAGAACUAAUAAUACUAAUGUACAUAGCUACAUCAUAUAUUUAGUUUUCAAAGGACUAAGAGCCAAUGUUUAAUCAACUGAUUUACAACCAAUCNACUUAUUAUUGAGGAUUAGACAUCAUAUAUCGGAAAAAAGUAGAUAAUUAUAGUGAAAAUAAGGAGAAAAGAACAAACAAAGAAGCACAUGGUAAUGGAGAUUGCUUUGCACAUGAACCUGAAUAAAGCUUUCAUCGAAUUAGGUUGCAAGGGUUCACAAAUAAUUGUUAUGAAAUUAAGAAUCAUCCAUAGUGAGGGGAAAAAAAAAAGUAAGAACAAUGUAAUCCAAAAUGUUACAGUUGGUAAUCUUUCAUGGUAAAAAGUAAAUUCAUUGUGAGGCCGAAUACUAAAUGUAAAAAAUUGAUAGACAAAGAUUGGUCAUUACGAAGAGAAAUAGAUGUGAUAGAAAGCAGUUUAUAGAGAAACUAAUAGCUUACAAAUAGCUUACAAAUAGUUGAUUAAAAGCAAACCUUAACUAAGACAGAAACAUAAUACUGAAGAUUCAAAAAAUAUAACUAAGACGGAAGCAUAAUAUAGAAGAUUUAAAAAA